rnacentral:rRNA from 1 species
UACGUAGGGGCAAGCGUUGUCCGGAUUUAUUGGGCGUAAAGAGCGUGUAGGCGGCUUUACAGGUCCGUUGUGAAAACUCGAGGCUCAACCUCGAGACGCCGGUGGAAACCGUAAAGCUAGAGUCCGGAAGAGGAGAGUGGAAUUCCUGGUGUAGCGGUGAAAUGCGCAGAUAUCAGGAGGAACACCCGUGGCGAAGGCGGCCCCCUGGUCGGAUACUGACGCUGACGACGCGAAA